rnacentral:rRNA from 1 species
UACGAAGGGGGCUAGCGUUGUUCGGAUUUACUGGGCGUAAAGCGCACGUAGGCGGAUCGUUAAGUCGGGGGUGAAAUCCUGGAGCUCAACUCCAGAACUGCCUUCGAUACUGGCGAUCUUGAGUCCGGAAGAGGUGAGUGGAACUCCUAGUGUAGAGGUGGAAUUCGUAGAUAUUCGGAAGAACACCAGUGGCGAAGGCGACACACUGGCUCACUACUGACGCUGAGGCGCGAAAGCGUGGGGAGCAAACAGG